UUAUGGCCAUAACAUAUUGAAACACUGGUGCUCGUAUGAACACUGAAGUUAAACAACAUUGAGCCUGGUCAGUACCUAGAUGGCUGACUGCUUGGGAAUACCAGGUGCUGUAAG
rnacentral:rRNA from 1 species